AGAGUUGAAAGGAGAAGAAAGAGAAGACAUGAGAAGAAUCGUACAUUGAGAGGGAUGAGAAGAGCUCGUUGUAAGAUCAUUUGAUGGGGUCACAUAUGUUAAGGAAUAAAUAUGAUAGGGUCAUUAAUCAAUUAGCCUAUUUAAGUGGUCACUAAUAAGGUAAAGGCUUGGGCAUCUAUCUAUCUAUAUUAUUAAAACUGAAGUACCUUUUGAU
rnacentral:lncRNA from 1 species